rnacentral:rRNA from 1 species
UACGAAGGGUGCAAGCGUUACUCGGAAUUACUGGGCGUAAAGCGCACGUAGGCGGCUUUCUAAGUCGGGGGUGAAAUCCUGGAGCUCAACUCCAGAACUGCCUUCGAUACUGGAAAGCUCGAGUCCGGGAGAGGUGAGUGGAACUGCGAGUGUAGAGGUGAAAUUCGUAGAUAUUCGCAAGAACACCAGUGGCGAAGGCGGCUCACUGGCCCGGUACUGACGCUGAGGUGCGAAAGCGUGGGGAGCAAACAGGG